UACGUGGGGUGCGAGCGUUGUCCGGAAUUAUUGGGCGUAAAGAGCGCGUAGGCGGUCCGAUAAGUCGGCUGUGAAAGUCAGGGGCUCAACCCUUGAAAGCCGGCCGAUACUGUCGGACUAGAGUCCGGAAGAGGCAAGUGGAAUUCCCGGUGUAGCGGUGAAAUGCGCAGAGAUCGGGAAGAACAUCGGUGGCGAAAGCGCUCUACUGGACCGCAACUGACACUCAGGGACGAAAGCUAGGGGAGCGAAUGGG
rnacentral:rRNA from 1 species